UGGGGCUGGUCUGACUUCUGAACUUGGAUUUGGCUUGAUACUUGGUAGUUGUAAAUCUAAUUAGUUGUGUAUCAGAUUGUUUGUGUAGUUUGUUUGGAACUUGAUCUGUGCAGAGUGGUGACUAGGUCAGUGGUCUUCAGGGAUGGUGUCCGAGUUUGGGAGACGCCUCGAGCUCGACAAGCCAUUGAAGAAGUGAGGCUUAGUGCGUCCCCCACAGCACCGCGAUCAGUUUAGACAUCCUGAAGACGAUCGAGGAGAACUUGGAGAUGGAGGAAUGGGUGAAACCUGCCGACGGCUCGCGCCCACUCGAAACAAAACAUACACGAGGGACACUAUAGAAGCUUAGUCUAAUACUAAAGCUGCCGUUUUGUUUUGAC